rnacentral:lncRNA from 1 species
AAUUCCUAUUUUCUUAAAUCCAAUCCUAAACCAUAUCCAAAUUCAUUUUUAUAACCAUAAUCCAUUUUUAAAUCCAACCCAUAAUUCAUUAUCCAAUUUUUUACCCAUUUAAAAAACCAUUUAUCCAAUUUUAAUCCAUUUCCAUUUAAAUCCAUUCAUAAUCCAAGUUCAUUAUCCAUUUUACAAUAUCCAAUUCACACAAAACCAGUUAUUUCAUCCAAUUUCAAUUUUAAUCCAUUUUCUCUUUUAUCCAUUUAUGCUAACCACAUCCAAAGACAAGUGAAAAGUUGCUAACUGAAUUGUGACGAAAUGCAGAAGGAGAAAGCAAAACCAAGCUGAAACGCGAAUGAGCCAGUUGCAAUACAAGCCAACUGCGGAAACACAUCAAAAAUUCUGCAUAAAAACUCUGCAUAAAACACAUCAAAAAUUCUGCAUUACAUGACCAAAAUUCUGCACAAAAACUCUGCAUAAAACACACAAAAAUUCUGCAUAAAAAUUCUGCAACAACACACAAAAACUCUGCAUAAAAUACAGCAAAAAUUCUGCAUUCCAAAACCAAAAUUCUGCAUAAAAUACAGCAAAAAUUCUGCAUUUAAAUACCACCAAAAACCUGCACUUGGCCUCAUACCAUCAUCAUGA